rnacentral:tRNA from 2 species
CGGGGCGUAGCGCAGCUUGGUUAGCGCACCAGCAUGGGGGGCUGGGGGUCGGUGGUUCGAAUCCACUCGCCCCGACCA